rnacentral:antisense_RNA from 1 species
UGUGGGAGCUGGCUUGCCUGCGACAGCAUCGUCGCAGUGCAGCUGAUACACCGAGGUGACGGCAUCGCAGGCAAGCCAGCUCCCACA